AUGCUACUCAGCAGCUCAAGAUAGUAGAGGCAGCUGCAUAGUUUUGAGUUUCAUUCUUCCUAUUCUUUAAAACCAAGUGUGUCAUCUGAUGGAAAAAUGCUGCUACCAGAGAUGAAGACCCAGCAGGAGCCCAAUGUGAGCACUGCCAAGCUGCCCCAGAGCCCAGUAUGAGCCCUGCAAGGCUUCUACAGAGCUGGAGUGUUGCCAUGAUGUACUCUCUCUCUCCUGACAUUCAAAAAGAGUAAGGGGAUGCUGACAAGGGGAUGGAGCGACUUCUGCCCAAGGAACCCUGAGAUAAGCCAAGGCACUUCA
rnacentral:lncRNA from 1 species